rnacentral:rRNA from 1 species
ACAGGGAUUGCCCUAGUAACGGCGAGUGAAGCGGCAACAGCUCAAAUUUGAAAUCUGGCCCUCGGGUCCGAGUUGUAAUUUGUAGAGGAUGCUUUUGGCGCGGUGCCUUCCGAGUUCCCUGGAACGGGACGCCUUAGAGGGUGAGAGCCCCGUACGGUUGGACACCAAGCCUCUGUAAAGCUCCUUCGACGAGUCGAGUAGUUUGGGAAUGCUGCUCUAAAUGGGAGGUAAAUUUCUUCUAAAGCUAAAUAUUGGCCAGAGACCGAUAGCGCACAAGUAGAGUGAUCGAAAGAUGAAAAGCACUUUGAAAAGAGGGUUAAAUAGCACGUGAAAUUGUUGAAAGGGAAGCGUUUGCGACCAGACCUUUUCCUAGCGGAUCAACCGGUGUUCUCACCGGUGCACUUCGCUAGGUUUAGGCCAGCAUCGGUUUCUGUAGGGGGAUAAAAGCUCUGGGAACGUAGCUCCUCCGGGAGUGUUAUAGCCCUCUGCAUAAUACCCUUACGGGGACCGAGGACCGCGCUUCGGCAAGGAUGCUGGCGUAAUGGUCGUCAACGACCCGUCUUGAAACACGGACCAAGGAGUCGAACAUUUGUGCGAGUGUUUGGGUGUUAAACCCUCACGCGUAAUGAAAGUGAACGGAGGUGAGAGCCCUUACGGGUGCAUCAUCGACCGAUCCUGAUGUCUUCGGAUGGAUUUGAGUAAGAGCAUAACUGUUCGGACCCGAAAGAUGGUGAACUAUGCGUGGAUAGGGUGAAGCCAGAGGAAACUCUGGUGGAGGCUCGCAGCGGUUCUGACGUGCAAAUCGAUCGUCAAAUCUGCGCAUGGGGGCGAAAGACUUAUCGAACCAUCUAGUAGCUGG